GCAUCUGUGGCUGAUUGGUUAAAGCACCCAACUCAUAAUUAGCGAAUUCACAGAUUCAAUUCCUUCUAGAUGCA
rnacentral:tRNA from 1 species